AACGAACGCUGGCGGCAUGCCUAACACAUGCAAGUCGAACGAGACCUUCGGGUCUAGUGGCGCACGGGUACGUAACGCGUGGGAAUCUGCCCUUGGGUUCGGAAUAACAGUUGGAAACGACUGCUAAUACCGGAUGAUGACGUAAGUCCAAAGAUUUAUCGCCCAGGGAUGAGCCCGCGUAGGAUUAGCUAGUUGGUGGGGUAAAGGCCUACCGAGGCGACGAUCCUUAGCUGGUCUGAGAGGAUGAUCAGCCACACUGGGACUGAGACACGGCCCAGACUCCUACGGGAGGCAGCAGUGGGGAAUAUUGGACAAUGGGCGAAAGCCUGAUACAGCAAUGCCGCGUGAGUGAUGAAGGCCUUAGGGUUGUAAAGCUCUUUUACCCGGGAUGAUAAUGACAGUACCGGGAGAAUAAGCCCCGGCUAACUCCGUG
rnacentral:rRNA from 1 species